rnacentral:rRNA from 1 species
UACGUAGGGGGCAAGCGUUGUCCGGAUUUAUUGGGCGUAAAGAGCGUGUAGGCGGCCGCACAGGUCCGUUGUGAAAACUGGAGGCUUAACCUUCAGACGUCGAUGGAAACCGUGCGGCUAGAGUACGGAAGAGGCGAGUGGAAUUCCUGGUGUAGCGGUGGAAUGCGCAGAUAUCAGGAGGAACACCAAUAGCGAAGGCAGCUCGCUGGGACGUUACUGACACUGAGGCGCGAAAGCGUGGGGAGCGAACAGG